rnacentral:misc_RNA from 1 species
GAACGCACAUUGCGCCCUUUGGUAUUCCGAAGGGCAUGUCUGUUCGAGCGUCAUUAUCACCCCUCAAGCCCCCGGCUUGGUGUUGGACGGUUGGUGACGAUUUCGUCACCCCUCCCAAAGACAAUGACGGCGGCCUCGUUGGACCCCCGGUACACUGAGUUCCUCACCGAACACGUAUCGGAUCAAGGGUACACGGGGCACGGUCUGCCUCCCCUCAGGGAGAACUUUUCUAAGGUUGACCUCGGAUCAGGUAGGGAUACCCGCUGAACUUAAG